ACCACAGUCCUUCUGAUUUCAAGUUACCUCCACCUGUGUGACCUACCAGGUGUAGGACUGCAUCCUCCCCAAAGGCCUAAUUCAUUUCACCUGUGGCAAUCCAUAAAUAAAGGCACUUGUUUGUGCCUAUUGGGCUCUUUCUCUGUAGGCUGCAGCUUAGGCCUUGUUUCCUUAGUGCUGCUGAGGGAGCACGGCUGCAGCCAUUUAUGUGGGUACUGCUCUUUUGACUUCAGCUUCACUCAUGGAAAUGGCACUGAACGUGCCUAAAGGAUGGGAGGACAGACCCUGUCAUGCUGCUGCCACUCGUGUUGCUUUCACUGUGCUCACCCCUUCUGUCUUCAUGUCACCUUGUGGUAGCCUUUUGCAAAACCCUUAUCUCAUAAGAUUUCUGUCAAGGCUGGCUCAAAACCAGCAUUUCCAUCCAUGUCUAUUGAAGUUCCAUCUGCACACUGAAGCUGCCUGUGGAACACUGGGGACAACGCACUGAUGAGCACAGCUUCCAUCCCCAGUGAGAUGGCAGAGUUCUUCUAAGGAAUUAAAAAACAAAGCAGAUGAAUAAAAUGUGGUCCUUACGGGAAAUGCCCA
rnacentral:lncRNA from 1 species